rnacentral:lncRNA from 12 species
GUGUAUUUCAGACUCCAGAUUAGCCCUCAGAGCUUUCAAUUUAACCGGGAUGCGUCCUCUCCACUCUAUAAGGUAACGUACUGUAAAGGAACAUGGUAUUUGCCUACAGCUUAUAUAUCUUUAAACAAAAUAGACAUAAUUUUAUUCCUUUAGUUCCUCUCCUUCACUAAAAUAUGAGCACUGACAUAGCAGGUUUUGCCUCUGUUUUAUUUCUUUAAAUUUAUUAGCUAAAUCAGUGAAUGGCAAAUAGUGGGUGCUAAAUAAAUAAAGUUUGAAUAUAAAUGCCCACCCUAAAUAAUUGUCUUUAAUUUGUCUGACUCAAAGGAACUUUGACUUUUUUUUCCCCCUAAAACAUACCUAGAUUAAUUUGAGACGGCUGGAGUAUCUUCCUAAUGGAAGUUCAUAAAAUACUAUUUAUUUAUGGGUUUCUGUUCAAUUGUUUCAUUGUUGUUUUUCUGCUCAGGUUCAACAUUAAUUGUCAAUGGAAAAUGAACCAGAUGACCUUCUAGGUGUGAUGCAAGCUCUAACAAAUGAAAUCUUCAUGACUUAAAGAUUAACUGAUGUCAAAAUUUAGAUAUAAAAGUUGAACUGCAAUUAUUUCCAACAGAAUCUGCAAACCCCACAGUUAGAAGCUAGAGAAGAAAUGUGUGGGGGCAAAACAUCUAAUGAGCCAAAAGAAGAGACGACCGCGAUGCGUCUAUGACCGAGCAGUAAAUUCGGAUGGAGAGGUCCUCAUUGGUUGAGCUGGCUGUGUGUGUGCCACUGAAGCACUUCGUGAAUUAUCUUCUGAUUUCCCUCAAUAGGAUCAGGCCUUUCCACGCUGCCGACAGUAGAACCCUCUGGAUAGCAGAGGGGAAGCGCUGCUAAUUUCGAUGAAGCCGACCUGAGGCUGUGACCCUGCUACCUGAGGUCAGUAUCUGAGCAGCCUCCAGUGGGAAGAAUAACAGGUGGGAACCCUGGGGGGCCAGCUU